UACGGGGGGGCAAGCGUUGUUCGGAAUUACUGGGCGUAAAGGGCUCGUAGGCGGCCAACUAAGUCAGACGUGAAAUCCCUCGGCUUAACCGGGGAACUGCGUCUGAUACUGGAUGGCUAGAGGUUGGGAGAGGGAUGCGGAAUUCCAGGUGUAGCGGUGAAAUGCGUAGAUAUCUGGAGGAACACCGGUGGCGAAGGCGGCAUCCUGGACCAAUUCUGACGCUGAUGAGCGAAAGCCAGGGGAGCAAACGGG
rnacentral:rRNA from 1 species